rnacentral:misc_RNA from 1 species
AAAGUCGUAACAAGGUCUCCGUAGGUGAACCUGCGGAGGGAUCAUUACAAGAAACCCUACGGUAUUACUCCUCGGAGUACUGCCGCUAGGUUAUUUCACAACCCUUUGUUGUCCGACUCUGUUGCCUCCGGGGCGACCCUGCCUUCGGGCGGGGGCUCCGGGUGGACACUUCAAACUCUUGCGUAACUUUGCAGUCUGAGUAAACUUAAUUAAUAAAUUAAAACUUUUAACAACGGAUCUCUUGGUUCUG